AAUUUUUAUGGAGAGUUUGAUCCUGGCUCAGGAUGAACGCUGGCGGCGUGCCUAAUACAUGCAAGUCGA
rnacentral:rRNA from 4 species